UUUGCUCUCCCUUUCUUCCCCACCUCAUUUUCUCAUGCUCCCAUCCUUCCUGCUGUCUCUGUAGAUUUCAUAUGUGAGCGGGGCAGGCGGCAAGAAAUGAUCCUCCACAGCACAAUAGUCCAGCAACACGCAUAAUGAGCGCAGAGGGGGAAAUAAAGAUGAAGAAGAUGAGGCGUUCCUCAGGGGAAGUGAGGCGUCAGCAAGAUUUCAUGAGGCCCGUUCAGACUCAUGAUGAGUCAAAAGAAAAACAGAAUUCCUCAGAUUUAAAACUGCAGAGCUGAGGCGCGGGUCGUCCAACUGAAAACACUUGGACGAUGUUUGAUGUCUUUUUUUUCCCACAGUGCAUAUGUGCACUUUAAAUGAACUUGUCAGCACGACCACUGGGGGACAGAGGAAGAUGGACCUUGUGCAGCAUCUGCUGACCUGCAGCUGUGUGGACUGUCAGCGUCCAGCAGAGGGAGUAAGACCGCUGAUAAUCUGAGGAAGAGUCCUGCCAUCAGCUUCACCCUCCUGGCUUCUUUUUAGUUGGAGCUGCUGGACUGGAUUUGCAGCUAUGUCUUCAAAGUGAGCUGAAAAAGCCUGAGGUUUGAACAGUGUAUCACACACUUAACACCAACUGACAGGUACAUACGAUCCUGGGCACUUAACAGGCUCUGCUUAAAAUGUGACUGAUAUAGCUGUCUUUUUAAAGCAUUUUAUUGCUUUGUGUCGGUCAUGAAAGAGACAGUUUGAAAGCAAGAGUGAAUACAAAACCAAAAGGAAUACGAGGCCUGUUGGAGGAAUAAUGUAAUAUUCCCUGAGGUCAGUAAAUGUCUGUGCUCCAGAGACUUCAUACAUAUUUCCUAGGUCAGACACGUGUUAUGCUGCAAGAGGCCAAACUUCCUGUAAGAGACCUAGAAAGAGGUCCAAAUACUUAAAAUAGUUCAUGUGCCAUAAGGGAAUAUGAACUCUGGUGAUGAUUAUAUAGUGACGAUGUCUCGGCACUCACGUCAUGUCACUCACCAUAAUUGUUGUUUUGGUUGUUGCCCAGCUGGACCUCAGCAGGGCAGAGGAAAUUAAAAUGCUAAUUCAUCCAUCCAGGACCAGAACGGCCAUUUAAGUCAAGCCAGAAGCAUUUAUCACACCAUAAUUAAGUUACUUCCAGGACGAGACAAAAACUAUCUUUGUCACUGUGUUACAUGCAGCAUGGGAAAAUACAGCAUGUGACAUUUAGGUUUGUACUGAGAUCCUGUACUUUUCAAUCUGGCAUAAAAAAACUGAAACAACAAACUUUAAAAGAAAGUGAAACGUGAACUUUUGUACAGCUUUCAUCUAAAUGCAAAAUCCUCCUCAUCACCCCAAACCGUUAAAGGAUUAACAGCUAAGAUCUGGGAACAUGGCAACAUCACUAAAAAGAGGACUGACAGGUUAAAACCAGCAGCAGUCAGAUGAUCAGACAGGUUGGAAAAAACUUCCAAAAUAUAAAAAAAAAAAAACAUUGUAAACGUCCAUGCUGUUUACAGACCUACAUCCUGCUUCAGCUUUAUCCUGCUGCACUUGUGGGCACACAUAUUUAAUUUACAAUGAGGGCUCAGUAGCAACACUUCAAUUUCCAUUUUACCUCCACAGAAAAUGGUUUCAAUAAUCUGCA